GACGAACGCUGGCGGCGUGCUUAACACAUGCAAGUCGAACGGAAAGGCCCUGCUUUUGUGGGGUGCUCGAGUGGCGAACGGGUGAGUAACACGUGAGUAACCUGCCCUUGACUUUGGGAUAACUUCAGGAAACUGGGGCUAAUACCGGAUAGGAGCUCCUGCUGCAUGGUGGGGGUUGGAAAGUUUCGGCGGUUGGGGAUGGACUCGCGGCUUAUCAGCUUGUUGGUGGGGUAGUGGCUUACCAAGGCUUUGACGGGUAGCCGGCCUGAGAGGGUGACCGGCCACAUUGGGACUGAGAUACGGCCCAGACUCCUACGGGAGGCAGCAGUGGGGAAUAUUGCACAAUGGGCGGAAGCCUGAUGCAGCAACGCCGCGUGCGGGAUGACGGCCUUCGGGUUGUAAACCGCUAUCGCCUGUGACGAAGCGUGAGUGACGGUAAUGGGUAAAGAAGCACCGGCUAACUACGU
rnacentral:rRNA from 1 species